rnacentral:lncRNA from 1 species
AUUUUAAUAUUUGCAAGCGGUGAUGAAAUUUGGAGGAUGGUGGUGUCUCGGUGUGGUGGAUAGAAUUGGAGGAGCACUACAAGAAAAAUGGUUAUUACCGACCGAUAAUUAUAUACGGAUUUUGAUCUGUAUGUAACAUGAACAUUAUAUACGGAUAUUAUAUACGGAUUUUGAAAAAAACUUACAUACGGAUAUUAUAUACGAAUUUUACAUACGGAUAUAUCCGUAUAUAAAAUCCGUAUGUAAUUUUCGCACCAGAUGGCGGGAGAGUUUUAUAGGGAUAAGAUCCGUAUAAAAGUAUUAUAAUCUGUAUUUAAGUAAAAACAAGUGUUAGCUACCAAUCUUAUAUACGGAUCUGAAAAUCAAUUUUACUUUUUUUUAAAAAUUGAAAUUAGAUUUCAUUAAUUAAAAAACUUGUUUCGAAGACUCAGACGAGCUGUGUUCACUCAAAUGUCUUUCGAACCUUAACUCUGCCCUCUCCACACUAAUUCUC